UGGCUGCGGGGCUGGGGGAGCUGGGGCUGCUGGAGCUGGCGGGCCUGGAGCAGGAGUAUCCCCGGGAGCCGCGGGAGCCCCCUGGGUCAGCGUGGCCACUUCGCUGUCGUAAGAGGGGUGGAGGCAGCGGCUCCGCGAAGAGGAAUUCGCCGUCGUCCACAUCCACGGAAGGGGCUGGCGGCGGCAGGACCAGCAGCGGAAGGCCGUUCUCCUCACUGCCCCGCGGAGAGCCCCUGUUGAGACACACAAGACCAAGGGAGGAAUUGGAGACUGGACCAGCUCCUCCUAGAUGCAAGCAGUGCACUGCGUAACAGCAAUCAUCAGCAGGGGCGCAAGGGAAAAGGCUCAAUUAAGUAGAAUUUCGCCCUUCGGCCACGAGGGGGCGCCGUUUACUAGUUGUUCAAAGGUUUGCGCACAUGAUAAUUUAAUGGCGAUUUGGAGUGAUUUAAAACAGGCUUAAGAAGAAAAGGCUAUCUAUCAUUUUUACACAGAGCCAUGCAAGAAGCAGCUGACUUCUCCCUCAACAAGCAUCUGCCUCUACUUACUACCUGCCUGCUACCAACCCUCCAUCCUUUGAACCCCGAAAGACCCCAGUUUUCUAGAUGCUACCUUUCCCAGGUCACACAGCUGAGAAGCAAACCCCGGAUUCAUCCAAACCCGACCUCAUUGAACCAGGGUCAAAUGUGAUGCUAGACACAUCGCCAAGCCGAGACAGUCCUAUGCUCCCGGACCACAUCCCACUCUGAGAGACAUACCAAUGGAUUUCUGCCGGAGCAUAAGGCCAGGCCUGCAGAAGCAGAAGCAGGAGGAUUACCAUGAAUUCCAGACUAGCCUGGUCUACGAGUGAGUUCCAGGCAGUCAGCUACAGCGUAAGACCCCUGUCUCAGAAAAAUAACAAACACCCAAGAAAAAUGGCUGCCCAGCUCUGGAAAGACAGAUGCCCUGUGGAGGAUGCUGUUUCCACAGGGCCCAGGAACCCAGAAACAGGGAAAGGCCUGGAGUGGUGGCUUGCCCCUGGAAUCACAGCGCUGAGUGGGAGGACACACGGCUCUCCGGGACCCGCUGACAAGCCAGGCUAGCCUCAUCAGUGACCUCCAGGUGCAGCAGGAGACCUCAGCAAACAAGAUGGGUGACACCAAAGUCUGUGCUCGCACACACAUGAGCACACGCACAAGAGAUGGGCUGUCGGGACAGUUUGGGACCCUGCGGCUCAGAAGGGAUGUGCUGGAGUGAGAUCAGAGGGUGACAGCACCAGGCCGCAGAGGAAGACUGCUGCUUUUGAGAGCCCUGCGGGACAGGAGCUGACCUCACUCGACCCUCCUGAGUGCAGCAAGCUUCAAAAUUCUACAGGAUGUCUGACAAAAGGGAUCCUGAUCCACACAUUGAGAACUGCUGGCCUAGAAUCUCCUCGGUGAGGGACCAGGGGCACGGUCCAGUGGUAAAGCCCUUUUCUAGGACCCCCCCAGUGACGGAGCUGAAGGGUACCUACCUCAGUGGCAAAGAACCCUUUGGGCCGGUGCUUUCCCAGGGACGCAAGGCCACCAGGCCCAGGACUCUCGCUUGCACUGAUGGUCUGCUGAGCAGCGGCCAAGAUCUCAU